UGGGAAGAACUGUUCCUAGAAUAGCAAUGAGUCACAUCAGAGUGCAGGUAGGAGAAAAUUACAAAGGUACGGACACAUCUUCUUGAAGCUUUUCAUGAAGGGAUGCUCAUUAGGAGAAUGUCUGUGAAUGGCAUUGACUUUCAAGUGUGGAGUUAGUGUACAGGUAGCUUCCUGGACACGCAGAUGAACAUGAAUGAAUUAUCAGUAGCCUGGGAAAAUAUGCAUCUGAACCAAUGUGCUCACCCUCAAGAAGAGAAGAAAACAGAACUGGACUCUAAUUCUAUCAGUAGGUACUUUCAUGUCCGUGCUUCUUCAACUUCAUCAGACCCACCUAACCAACAGUCCUCUAGCUUUUCUCAUUGAUAAUCUCCUUGUGAACCCACUUCUCUCCUUACCAAGAAAGAUUCCAGGGUUCAUCACCUUAGCGGUCCUCAAACUAGUUACCUAUAGGUAUGGGAAGACUUGCCGAGGAAAGACUUGUGCAAAGAUAGUUGUAAAGAAAAUCCUCAACCUUCAUGUCAAGUGUUUUUCUUAAGUUGAUCCGCCUAAGAACUCAGUUAUUUACAGUACCCUUCUCCUGCUUUCCCAGAGAAAGGUACAGACCUCGCCAUCCCAGAUCUUGCCAUUAUGUAUCCAACUGGGCUGUGAAACCUUCAGGGUGCCAAGUAAAAUAUUGUCAAAAUAUUAUUUAGGGAGCAUUUUUCUUGAUGAUUCAUUAAAGCUCAGGAUUUUCCUCACUUCCCUGUCCUCUAUGUAUUUUGGUUAAAGAGAAACAUGGUCUCAUAAACAGUGUAUUUUUCCCAUGUUGGGAUGUUCUGAAU